rnacentral:misc_RNA from 1 species
GUUUCUGUACUAUAUUGGUACGCGAAGCUUCCAACCCGCCUCUGGCGGUUAUGUUUGGUCAAUUUCUUUUGACCGGGGUCUACGGACCCC